rnacentral:rRNA from 1 species
GACGAACGCUGGCGGCGUGGAUUAGGCAUGCAAGUCGAACGGUAUAUAUUCUUUCGGGAGUAUAGAGAGUGGCGAACGGGUGAGUAACGCGUAGGUGAUCUACCUUCAAGUGGGGGACAACCCAGGGAAACUUGGGCUAAUACCGCAUGUGCCUGCAAAGGUAAAGCCGGCCUCUGAAUGUAAGCUGGUGCUUGGAGCUGAGCCUGCGUCUGAUUAGCUAGUUGGUGGGUAACGGCCUACCGAGGCGAUGAUAAGUAGGCGGCUUUAACGAGUGGUCGCCCACACUGGGAUUGAGAUACGGCCCAGACUCCUACGGGAGGCAG